ACCAGGAAAGAAAAUACAAACCAAACUGAAGAAAAGAAAAGCUACACACACGUACAGGAAAAAAAAUUCCAUGGCUGCUACUCUGUUGCCCAAAACUGUUUCUCCAAUCCUUACAAACCCACCUUCAAUUCCUUCUGGCCAAUUCACCACCAAGCCACCAUUUUUUAGCCCACUUGGCCUCUCUCCAUGCACCAAAAGACUAAGUGUUCAAACCAAUGCUAAGAAAAAGAACCCAUGGCUAGACCCUUUUGAUGAUGGGGAGGACCCCAACAUGGAGUAUGGUUCGUUGUUUACUGAUGGUAAGCAAGAAGAAGAUCCUAGACCACCUGACAACCCGGAUAACCCUUAUGGGUUCUUGAAAUUCCCAAUGGGAUUCACUGUGGAGCUGGCUUCGUUGCCUUUGAAAAUAAGAGGUGAUGUUAGGAGAUGUUGCUGUGUGAUCUCUGGUGGUGUCUAUGAAAACUUGCUGUAUUUUCCUGCUAUUCAGUUGAUCAAGGACAGAUACCCUGGUGUUCAAGUGGAUGUAUUGGCAUCAGAAAGAGGAAAACAGACUUAUGAGUUGAACAAGAAUGUGAGAUGGGCUAAUGCUUAUGAUCCUGAUGAUGAGUGGCCUGAGCCUGCUGAAUACACUGACAUGGUUGGACUUCUUAAGAAUAGGUAUUAUGACAUGGUUUUGUCAACCAAACUGGCCGGCCUUGGCCAUGCAGCAUUCUUGUUUAUGACAACUGCUCGUGAUAGAGUCAGCUACAUUUACCCAAAUGUGAAUGCAGCAGGAGCAGGAUUGCUUCUAUCAGAAACUUUUACAGCAGAUAGUAUGAAUCUUUCAGAAGGAGGAUAUAACAUGUACCAUCAGAUGGUUGAUUGGUUGGGAAGACCUUUUCGGAGUGUCCCAAGGCACUCUGUUGGCCCACUAAGAGUGUCAAUUUCAAGGAAGCUGAAGGAGGUUGUAGCAGAAAAAUACAGGACUGCAGGUGCAGAGAAAGGCAAAUAUAUUGUGAUUCAUGGAAUAGAAUCAGAUUCAAAGGCUUCAAUGCAGUCUAGGGGUGAUACUGAUAGCUUGCUUCCCAUUCAAGUAUGGGCUGAAAUCGCCAAGGAUAUAAGGGGAUUUAAGCCACUUUUUGUCAUUCCACAUGAGAAAGAAAGAGAAAAUGUGGAGGAGGUAGUAGGAGAUCAUGCUAGUAUUGUGUUCAUCACUACCCCAGGGCAGGAAAUGUGUUUGAUAUGGAACAACAUUAUAUUAAUCACAAGAUUUAUCUUCAAUAUUUGCUUUCAUAUGGUGUGUCACAGUCCACCAACCUAUAAGGUAUUAUCCACUUUGAUCCCUUAGACUUCAUAGUUUUGCUCUACUGAAAGACGUUUUGCAAGUUAAAAAGGAUGUGGACACCUAAAUACUCAAUCGUCCUCUAGCACACAACCGAUGAGGAUUCACUACUGCCCUUUAGGAACCAUGACAACGUGCUUGCUCAACCCAUGUCGUAACAAACAUCUGGUCCUCCAGCAAGAAUAGUUUUUUGAAGAAUCAAACAAGUGAUAAAUAAGAAUGGCGAGUAAAAGACACUGAGAUUCUAACACUGGAGCCUUCAUUCUAUGGUCCAUUUCUGUAGCUGGCUGCUCUCAUAAAUGAUUCAGCUGGGGUGAUUGCUACAAAUACAGCAGCUAUCCAACUUGCAAGUGCACGUGAAAAACCAAGCAUCGGUCUGUUUUGCUCUGAGCAGAAGGGGAAACUGUUUGUUCCCAAUGCAGAAGAGAAG